rnacentral:rRNA from 1 species
AUUGAACGCUGGCGGCAUGCUUUACACAUGCAAGUCGAACGGUAACAGGCCUUCGGGCGCUGACGAGUGGCGAACGGGUGAGUAAUGCAUCGGAACGUGCCCAGUCGUGGGGGAUAACUAUCCGAAAGGAUAGCUAAUACCGCAUACGAUCUGCGGAUGAAAGCGGGGGACCUUCGGGCCUCGCCCGAUUGGAGCGGCCGAUGUCAGAUUAGGUAGUGGGUGGGGUAAAGGCUCACAAAGCCAACGAUCUGUAGCUGGUCUGAGAGGACGACCAGCCACACUGGGACUGAGACACGGCCCAGACUCCUACGGGAGGCAGCAGUGGGGAAUUUUGGACAAUGGGCGCAAGCCUGAUCCAGCAAUGCCGCGUGCAGGAAGAAGGCCUUCGGGUUGUAAACUGCUUUUGUACGGAACGAAACGGCUCUGGUUAAUACCCGGGGCUAAUGACGGUACCGUAAGGAUAAGCACCGGCUAACUACGUGCCAGCAGCCGCCGUAA